GUGGAUUAGAUACCCGGGUAGUCCACGCGGUAAACGAUGAGUGCUAGGUGUAGCGGGUAUCGACCCCUGCUGUGCCGGAGUUAACACAAUAAGCACUCCGCCUGGGGAGUACGGCCGCAAGGUUGAAACUCAAAGGAAUUGACGGGGGCCCGCACAAGCAGCGGAGCAUGUGGUUUAAUUCGAAGCAACGCGAAGAACCUUACCAGGUCUUGACAUCGAGGCAAAGCCGUAGAGAUACGGUGUUCAGCAAUGAGGCCAAAGACAGGUGGUGCAUGGUUGUCGUCAGCU
rnacentral:rRNA from 1 species